rfam:Oryza glumipatula chromosome 1, whole genome shotgun sequence.
UUUACAGUCAUGGGUAUCUGUGCUCGAUGUUUGACUGUCCAUCUUAUUUAAAUAAAUUAUAGAAAAACUAAAUAUAAAUAGUCACAUUAAGUAAUAUUCAUCUUUUAUCAUCUAAUAACAAUAAAAAUAAUAAUCAUAAAAAAAUUUUAAAUAAGAUGAACGGUAAAACGUUGGACAUAAACAGUGUAAAACUACAUUUAUU